UGUCCAUAUCAGGAGGUUCAGGCUGUCAAGUCAGGAUUGUUCUUUUGUGUAGUAGACAAACAUUAUGAGCAUAACCAUUUUAAUGUGAAGACUGAGCUUGUCUUUUUGAUACCAGUGCGUCUAUAUCGGGUUUGAUAGAUGUAGUGGCGAUGCGAAGAGUAUUUUCAAGAUGCUCAUCUGAAAUUUUUGUUCUGAUUUUAUUUUUUGUAUGCUUCAUACGAGAAAAAAACUGCUCGCAAAUGUAUGUACUCCCCAACAGAGAUGUCAUGAACAGGGCAUGUUCGUGAAGUGAUGGAUAUUUUUCUUUGGUUGCAGGUUUGCAGGCAACAUGUCGAUGUCAACUGAGAAUGGAGUAGCAAAUAUACUGAACUGUUGUUGGUGUUUUCUAAAAUCUUGAAAUCUGCUCUCAAACUCCUGUGCUAAACUAUUAAGUAAUGCCGCAUAUUUUUCAGUAUUUGCAUGUCUUUGCUCAGACAGUGUUGCAAAGUGAAUGAAGCUAUUGUUCUUAAUCUGACUGUGUCACAAUUUCAGUUUCAUUUCAAAUGCCGUCACUGUUUGAAACAUGUCAUUUAUUAAUAGAUUUUCCCCUUGGAGGCGCAAGUUCAGGUCGUUUAAAUGAGCAGUGAUGUCUACUAAGAAGGCUAAAUCAGCCAUCCAGCUUGCACUUUCAAAUUCAGG